rnacentral:rRNA from 1 species
UACGUAGGGGGCUAGCGUUGUCCGGAAUCAUUGGGCGUAAAGCGCGUGUAGGCGGUCCGGUAAGUCCGCUGUGAAAGUCGGGGGCUCAACCCUCGGAUGCCGGUGGAUACUGUCGGGCUUGAGUACGGAAGAGGCGAGUGGAAUUCCUGGUGUAGCGGUGAAAUGCGCAGAUAUCGUAAGGAAGACCAGUGGCGAAGGCGAAUCUCUGGACAGUUACUGACACUGAGGCACGAAGGCCAGGGGAGCAAACGGG